CAUGCCGUAAACGAUGGGUACUUGGUGUUGGAGGUAUUGACCCCUUCAGUGCCGAAGCUAACGCGUUAAGUACCCCGCCUGGGGAGUACGGUCGCAAGAUUAAAACUCAAAGAAAUUGACGGGGGCCCGCACAAGCGGUGGAGCAUGUGGUUUAAUUCGAUGCAACGCGAAAAACCUUACCUAGGCUCGAAAUGCAGUGGAAUAUAGCAGAAACGUUAUAGUCUUCGGACCGCUGUAUAGGUGC
rnacentral:rRNA from 1 species